AGCGCGUUCGGUUGUUAACCGAAAGGUUGCUGGUUCAAGCCCAGCCAGGUACG
rnacentral:tRNA from 1 species